rnacentral:rRNA from 1 species
AUUGAACGCUGGCGGCAUGCUUUACACAUGCAAGUCGAACGGUAACAGGUUAAGCUGACGAGUGGCGAACGGGUGAGUAAUGCAUCGGAACGUGCCCGAUCGUGGGGGAUAACGCAGCGAAAGCUGCGCUAAUACCGCAUACGAUCUGAGGAUGAAAGCGGGGGACCGUAAGGCCUCGCGCGAUCGGAGCGGCCGAUGUCAGAUUAGGUAGUUGGUGGGGUAAAGGCCCACCAAGCCGACGAUCUGUAGCUGGUCUGAGAGGACGACCAGCCACACUGGGACUGAGACACGGCCCAGACUCCUACGGGAGGCAGCAGUGGGGAAUUUUGGACAAUGGGCGAAAGCCUGAUCCAGCAAUGCCGCGUGCAGGAAGAAGGCCUUCGGGUUGUAAACUGCUUUUGUACGGAGCGAAAAGGUCCUUUCUAAUACAAGGGGCUCAUGACGGUACCGUAAGAAUAAGCACCGGCUAACUACGUGCCAGCAGCCGCGGUAAUAC